CUGUAAUGUUUACCAAAACCGGUUGUGUUAGAAGUGGCUGGCUAGCCAUUAGCUAGCGAGCUAAGAAUCGCUAACAUUUGCAGAGUUAGCUUUUUCAAUAGCUAACUUCACGAUUAUGUGCAAUAUCUGGAAUGGUAGUUAAUAUCAUAUCCAACAAUACGUCUGUGUAAGAUGUCGUUGUGAAUGUAGUUUAAGUUUGAAUGAAAUAUCAGGCGCAAGUAACAUUUACGUUAGCUAUCUUUAAAGUGGCUGAUUGUAGCCAUGCAGGCUAACAUUAAGUUAACAUUGCAGACACAGAUGAGAGUUGUUAACGUUACUUUCCUAACUAACGUGACUUAAGAAUUGUCAUGGGACAUAGGCUUAGGUAGAUAACUUAAUUUAAAUUUGAUAUACAGUAGUGCCGAUACAAAGGACCAGUAAAACUAAUGAAUGUAGUAAUUUAUCUCCCACCUUAACCUUAACUAAACUGCAGUUUAGUAUGGCCAUUGUCAUUAACAGACGUGUCAAGGAUGUGAAUGGGGGUAUGAUGCACUUUAGGUUGUGAAGGGUAGUGUUUGGCUUCAUGUUCUUCAUUUCAUAGCCCUUAUUUACCCCUUGUUUGAUAUAGUACCUAAUCUGCGCCUAACUAUGUGUUUAUUUAAAAUGCAUAUGAGUGUAGUAGUGCUUCAGUGAUGAUCUUUUUAUCUUCUGUGUGUUUUGCAACUUAUUAAUCUUAGUCUCCCUCUGUUCCCUCUGUUUACAGACAUUGCAUUGUGAGGACUGUUGCCCUGGGAACACUGAGCGCAUUCUCGAAAAUUCCAAAUUUGUGCCACUUCCAUACGAAGACAGCCCAGAAUAAUUGGGCUCCAUCAACCAUCCCGGGUAAAGUCGGUCUGUCCUGAUUGCACUACUUGCUAAUUGAUGACGUCUAGAAGCCAUAGCUGCUUCCCUGGCAGCCCUCACAAAUAAACUGAUACCAGGAAUUAACAUACAGUAGAUGGUGAUGGUGGUGGUGACAAGGGUGCCUUCACAAGGUGCCAUGUCACAAUCUCAGUGUGGAGCCAAAGGCUGCUAUUGCAAGUCAGAUGGGGGACGAUCGAUGUAAGGCAUCAGAAAGGUGGUAUACUUGAUUUACUGCCGAAGGUACCAUCAGAGCACCACCCUACCCCUGCAGGACCAGAAGAGGACGGACAGGGGGCCAACAUUUUUUAACACUCUGACCAUGGACUAUUUAAACCAUUGAGGUAACGCAGACGUCUGAUCCCACUUGGCUAAAACAGAAGACUGAGGAGGAGUUUCUUUCCUCAUGCCAUUCGCAUCCUGAGCACACAUACUACAUUACAUGGACUUGCCAUACUGCACUUACACACUGCACUAUUUACCCCCUGACUCAUUCCGU